rnacentral:lncRNA from 1 species
AGGGUCAAGAUAUAUUUAUUCAUACAGGUGUCAGAUGACAAGUUAAACAAUCUGUUGCUUCUGUACUGUACAAAACAUGGCUCCCUUGAGAAAUAAAAGAUACGAAGAAAAGCUCAGAAAGCUCUUGAAAGAACAGUUGAGAAAACAGAAAGCUUCUUGAAGAAACAAAAUAAAAAGUAUAGCCAACAUCUCAUUAUAUUAUUCUUGUAAAUCUCCCAUACUUCCUGGAAAAAACAGGAGGAUUCCAAUAUUCCGAAAGAAGAAUGCAGCUUGUAUUUUUACUGUUUAGUUUUACAUAAGAGUGGGUUUUCAAAUUGUAGGUGUAUUUACUGCUAGGGACGCAGGUGGCGCUGUGGUGUAAACCACUGAGCCUUGGGCUUGCCAAUCGGAAGGUCGGCGGUUUGAAUCCCCAUGACGGGGUGAGCUCCUAUUGUUCGGUCCCUGCUCCUGCCAACCUAGCAGUUCAAAAGCACGUCAAAGGGGAAGUAGGUAAAUAGGUACCGCUCCAGCGGGAAGGUAAACGGCGUUUCUAUGCACUGCUGUGGUUUCACUAGAAGUGGCUUAGUCAUGCUGGCCAUAUGACCCAGAAAAACUGUCUGCGGACAAAGGCCUUCAAUUUGCACAUCGGCCAUGUAGGUCAGGACUGGUUGUAAUUCACUCACCAAUUAAUUGAACCAGGACUGUAAUGUGUUUAUUUAUUUGAGGCAUCUGUAAUACCUCCUUGACCCCACCCCACCCACCACCCACCCCUGGAUAGCACAAUAAACACUAAAAGGACGGUUAAUGAAAAUCUACAGCAAAACAGAGAGGCAAAGCGAAAAUAAAAUAUAAUCAUGCACUUCAUUCUUCCCCAUUCUUCUUUUGCUUGGGCAAAACGGCACAUCUUUAACCUUUAACCAGGAUGAAAACAAUGUUGAGGAUGAUGCACUUUGGGAGACUAUUCCAAAGCUCUGGGGCCACCACAUAGAAAGCCCUUCUUCAGACGCCUGCAUUGCAAAUCUCGCUCCACAAGUGGCCACCAAGAGAGUUGUCUCUGCAGCUUGGUAUGUGGGGUGGGCAACAUUCUUUCAGAUAUUUGAGACCCAAGCCGUCUGUGGCACAAACUCUGUGCUGUUAUAGAAGUACCUUGAGUUGGGCCUGAAGUAUCACAGGCAGCAAAUGCAACUUUUAAAGUUGGCAUUAUUUGCAAGUGACUAGAAGGAGCACCUGCUAGUACCUUGGCUGCCACAUCCUGCGCAAGUUGUAACCCCCAGGCAGUUUUCCAGAAUUGCCCAUUACUCCUUGGUAAUGCAUUCUCUACUAGGUUGCCACUACAGACACUGAAGUCCCAAUGCAGAAAUUCAACGUGCUGCCGUCUGGGUCUGAAGAGAGAAAUGCUACAAGAAUCUGUAUGUGCUGUAUCUUUGCCAGAGAACUACUGCUAGAGUAUACAAGCAUAGGUCUGCUUCAGGCAAGUCAGCUUAAUGUGUUCUUUGAAAACCUUGAAAUAAAUUCCACGCCAUCUCCCAAGGCACCAAGCAUGCUAUUUGCAGGAGCCUCUUACAAGCCCGAUUGUGAAGGGAAGCGAACUAACAAUACUGCUUGCCUCCUUCAGUACUGCAGAAGGAGCCACAAAGACUAUCAUGGGGAUAACGGCUGCAGUUCUUUUCCCUUGCUUAGGACAACUAACACUGCAAAUAUUCAAGGAGCUGCCUCUUUUUGUCUGACCAGUUUCUGAUACUUAUCUUGGUCACUUAAAAGAGAAAGAAAAAAUCCCAGAUUCUUUCC